CAUGCAGUUGGGCGGUGCUCUAGCCAAACCGUUCUAUACUUGAUAAUAAUAAGAGUAAUUCUUGCAAGUGGCGAUUGCAGUGUGUGCUGUGCUAGCGAGAAUCGGGAGUAGAUUCAGUGUGCAGAUGACUGGCAAAAUAGCGAGUUCCCGUUCCCAAUUUGGUGGCAAUUUCUCAAUUUUCUUGGCCCGGGAUUUACUUUCGAGUGCGCUGCGUAGAUCGGUGUUUUUUCCUUUUGCUUCACACGGCCAAGUGACGUCGAACGGAAAAUAUACGACACGACUCUUUUGUUUUUCCGCGUGGUUAAUGUGCCUAUUUUUUAUUUGAGUGCGACAGGCAGUGACCAGAAAAUAACUCUAAACUAUGCGUCUAUUGCUGAUGCAACCAGAAGAAAUAGUGAUGCAAACAGAACCGAAAGUGGCAGCCAAACACGAAACUCUCCUACGAGUAACAAGGAUUUCACAGCCUCACAUGUGGCAGCUAAAAAAGCAACAUCAGUGUAACUAGCAGCAAAACAAACAGUAAGCAGCAGCAACAAACAAACACGGCAGCCGCAACAUCAGCAUUUGGAGCAACAAACACCCACACAAAGCUGCAACAGGCAGUGCAACAUGCUGCUGGCGGCAAUCGGAAACCAGGAAAACAUGCUACCGCCCUCCGGAGCAGCAAUCAAGCGAAAGACCGAUCCAGAGCAACAGCAGCAACGCAAGCAGCACAGGAGCAACAUCCUCAGAUGCAACAACAGCAACAACAGCAGCAACAACAACAUUAGCAGCAGCUGCAGCAUUAACAACAGCGACAAUCGACAACUUCAGCGGCAGCAGGGCAAAAUGUAUUACAACUCCAACUCGCGACCCUUUUGGAGGAAAUGCAGAUCGGCUGCCCCAACGAAUCCAAUGGCCAGAAUCCCCACUAACUACGACCUGUGCAACGCAGCAGCAGCAGCAACAUAUGACAAAAUGCAGCGUUGCAACCAGAACAGCAGCAGCAGCACCAGCAACAUUACAACGACCAGCAACAUCGGGGGUGGCAGCAACAAACGCUGCCCUCAGAAGUACACCGGCAACAAUAACCUAGCCGCCGCCAGCGGCAUGUUGGCUUAUCAGCAGCACGCCACUGCCUCCUCGGCAGCAACGUUGCAGCACGGCAGCAGCGCCGGUGGCAAGAACUCCUCUCGCAAGAGUCGCUACAAUAGCAACAAGCAGAAUCAGCAGCAACAGCAGCAGCAGUUUGAGCACAUCCAGAAGCGGAAUGGAGCCGCUGGAGGAAGCGCAGAAGCGCCACCCACAUCCACCUGGCUCGAACGGGGCUACGGACGCCGGUUGACCCAUUCUUCAUGCAUCGAAGACAAAUUCCUAGGCCAGCACAAUCCGGGCCAUCGCAAUAGCACCAGCAGCGAGGCGACCAGCGAGGACAUAGACUCCACUAGCGAGCUCCUAAACAAACCAAAGGGCAACUCAAGCGCCGGCAGCAACACUUUCAACAACCAUGUGGCAGGCAGCAGCAAGAGUCGCUCGAAGCGCCAGCAAAAGCCGUCCGUUGGCCAGCAGACUCGCAAUCCUGACCAGAAUGGCCAGAGGACCGGAGCAACUGGCCCCAUGGCGGGCCAGAAGGUCAAGCAGGCGAAUGCCAAGUGGCGCCAGCAGCAGCCCAAUCCCAGCAGCAACAACCAGCAGCAGCAGCAGCAACAACAGCAGCAGCAGCAACAGCAGAAGCGCGGCAGGAACAAGAAGUCCGCAAAGUGCAGCAGCAGCAUCAGCAAUUCCGACAGCAACAUGGUCAAGCAUGGUGGCAAUGGUCAGCGGAAGACCUGCGACAGCAGCUCCUCCUCUGCGCUGAGCUCGCCCACCAGUUCACCAACCAGUUCCCCCCACGCCAACGGCAAUCGGAAGCGGAUCGAACGCUCCUUGAUGCCGGGCGCCGCUCUGGAAUGGCGGCGGGAGCGGGAGCGUGGUCGCCAGAACGCCAACUUCCUGGUGCCUCCCCUCCGCCAGUACGAGCAACUGGAUCUAGACGACACAGCCGUGGUGCAGCAACUGCGUCGGCACAUCAUAGAUCACCAUCUGCUGAGGGUCUACGGCUUUCCCGUGGAGUCGGUGGUCCAUGAAGGCGCCAUCGAAAUCUUCAAGUGCCUGCCGCACAUGAGCUUCGCAGCUGCGCUGGCGGAAACCGCACCGGCAGUCACGGUGAUCAACUACCACGACGGACUGACCAACCGCGUUGAGGAGGAGGUGGCCACCUCGACCGACUCCGGCAACAGUUCGCCCCGCUCCUUGGACUCCGAAUCGGGCGGCGAGUGGAGCGGCAGCGAGUGCGAGUCCUCGAACUCAUCCUCCUCCUCCGCCGGCGACGCCGAGUUGAGUCUCGAGCUCAAGUACUGCCAGUAUGUGCAGGUGGAAAGGAGUCUGGCCAAGCCGUGUGCACGCUGCAAGCGCCACUUUCUGGUGGACGAGCUGACGGGCCAAUACCUGACCCACGAGGAGUGCCACUACCACUCCGGGAAGUACCAGCGUUACUACGAUGGCGUCUGCCACGGACGUUGGACGUGCUGCAACGAGGGCGAGGAAUCCUCGCCGGGAUGCUGCCUGGGCGACCGGCAUGUGUGGACGGGAUCGGUGGUGGGGGUCAAUGGGCCCUACUACGACUUCGUUAGGACCGAGCAGCGAGGAUCCGGCGAGGACGAGCCCGCCGUGUACGCCCUGGACUGCGAGAUGAGCUAUACGGGUCGUGGUCUGGACGUGACCAAGGUCUCCCUGGUGGCACUCAAUGGCCAAUUGGUGUAUGAGCACUUUGUUCGGCCCGAGUGCGACAUAAUUGACUACAACACCCAGUAUUCGGGCAUUACGGAAAGGGAUCUGCGUUUCGGAGCCAAGAGUCUGGCCGAGGUGCAGCGGGAUCUGCUCGAGCUGAUCACGGCGGACACCAUCCUCAUCGGACACGGGCUGGACAACGAUCUGCGGGCACUGCGCUUGGUGCACAACACCCUGAUCGACACCUCCAUCAGCUUCCCGCACUGCAGUGGGUUUCCCUACCGCCGGGCCCUGCGUCACCUGACCAAGGUGCACCUGAAGCGGGAGAUCCAGAGCGGUGAUGGCACCACGGGACACAGCUGCUUCGAGGACUCGCGGGCCUGCAUGGAGCUGAUGCUGUGGAGGGUCAACCGCGAGCUGGAUCCCACUUGGAGCUGGGACGAUUGAGGGGGGGCUCGAUCGGGGGGUGCAGAUCGGUAACAUUGGGGGGCCAGCAAGUACUUUUAGUUGUUAAGCCAGUAGGUACUAGUUCGGCUAGUUUGUACUAGUACUGUAUUCAAACACAAACAAAACACAAUCGUAAAAUCUCAGCUGGGUUGCUCACCUGGCAAUCGGUUUCUAUAGCACCGACUAACUGACUUAUCUCGGUUAUGCUCGUACAUAAUGUAUAUAGGGCCCCAUUGCCAGGAGUUCGCUCGGCGUAUAUAUAAAGUAAAUCGCAAAAUUGAAAUGACAAAAAAUGGCAAGAGAGGAGCAAGCGAGGAAUGAGGAAGGAGGAGGAUAAGCACAUAAUUAUAUGCGGUACAUAAGAAACUGUCGACGUUUAACUAUUGUUCCUCGAUUCUGUUCCAUUUGCGAAAUGAGCCGAGGAAUACUUUAUUCGAAAAUCGAUGUUCCUAGCAGAAUAAGUUUCAGCACAAAUAUGUACACUGCACCAAGCAGAUGUCUUUAUAUUGAACGGAAAGAAUGAGAAGAGUAAUGCAAAUGCACAACGAAAAUUUCAAGAGAAUAAAAGCAACAAAGAUUUGUCUAAACCUAAA
rnacentral:misc_RNA from 1 species